UCUCUUGUGCUUGCGUUUGAUUUUGUGUUGUUUAGGCUAGCUUGCUUCCUGUGCAAGUUAGGAUAGAGACCUCAACAUAGGGAUCAUAUGCAUGACAACUUCUAGGCUCGAAUCGUAGUCUCCCUAGUAGUCUGUUAUCUCCCUUUGUCUCUGGUUAGGUUAGAAGUUCUUUCCCUGUUAAGGGGAACUACGUCGCCCUGAUCCUCAUACCAGAUGAGGUACAUAGGCAGGAGAUGAGCUGAACUCUCC
rnacentral:lncRNA from 1 species